rnacentral:rRNA from 1 species
GUUAGAGAAGAACAAGGACGUUAGUAACUGAACGUCCCCUGACGGUAUCUAACCAGAAAGCCACGGCUAACUACGUGCCAGCAGCCGCGGUAAUACGUAGGUGGCAAGCGUUGUCCGGAUUUAUUGGGCGUAAAGCGAGCGCAGGCGGUUUCUUAAGUUUGAUGUGAAAGCCCCCCGCUCAACCGGGGAGGGUCAUUGGAAACUGGGAGACUUGAGUGCAGAAGAGGAGAGUGGAAUUCCAUGUGUAGCGGUGAAAUGCGUAGAUAUAUG